rnacentral:lncRNA from 1 species
CUCAAUUAUUCCCACUUGAAUUUAGUUCCAUUGAUAUUCCAUGCAAAUCAGUAAGGGAGGGAAACUUGCAGAGACAAAUUUGAAAUCCUUAAUUGAUACUAAUGAAUGAUUCUUUAGUUGUUAAAGCAUCAAGGGAUAAGUGAAUGGAAUUGUCCUUGAGUAAAAAAGGAAAUAAAAAAUAGUAAAAAGAAAAAAUCCCUACCAUCCUAGCUUCAAAGUCAAGCUGUCAUUUUUUCCUCAACCCUGAAGAUCCCCAGGUUAACUUUUUAAUGCUGAUGUCUGUUGAAAUAAGUGAAAUUUGUUUAGUGAACUUGAAGGCAUGUCUUCAAAGAACCCUACAAUUGAACCUGUGCAAAGCUCAACCUUUCAUCACCCAAAUAUGGAGCAAUGUGCCUUAAAAUAUGAAAGAAAUGAUGAAAUCUGGAACACAUUAUGAAAUUAUCGAGAAGGGAAAUACAGAAACGUAUGGAAAUAAAGCACACAAAUAUCAAAAGAUCUGAUGCAUAUGAAGUCUGUUGUAAAAGGACACAUCAUUUUUAGUUUGAACUUCUGCUUUUAAAUUUUAGGGUAAUGUGAUAUAGCCUUUACUUGUUUAGUACUUGAGGAACUUUUGGUGUUAACAGUGUGCUUUUUUACAGAAAUUCCUUUGCAUUUCAGAAUUUGUACAGUUUCCAGGGUACAAUAAGAAAAACAUGGAAGAGAUUUUAAUAGAAAAACAGCACUCAGAAUUCUGCAGCUGACAAUCACGAUGCCUCUGUUGCUGCUUUUAUUUUAGUAAGUGGAACAGAUCAACUCUGUAGAGGAGCUGACUGGAUUCCUCCACUGACUGAAGCGAAAAUAGUAAGCCAGGCGGCCUGACAAAUCCAUCCCCUCUUUUUUGAACCACUCUGGGUACUGCCAUUCAAUUCCCAUCUCAUUAUGCACAUCCAAAUGGGAAACAGGAAUAAAUGCUAAAAUUCAUGAUGGGAAAUACCUAAUGCAAUCUCCUUGGGACUACAUGAUAUCAGAAAGCUGCCUUCUUUUACAGUUCACAUUGUUUCAGAUACCAUUUUGGUUUUAUCUUCUUACUUCUUGAAUAACAUUAUAUAAAUACAGUUUAACUCUCCAACUCUUCUUAGCUAUUCAGCUAAAACUAAGAGCCAACAGUAUUUUGACAUUCACUCUUCGGAAAAUCUUGCCAUUUAAGCUCAGUGGUGUAGAGGAGAAAGAUGGUGUGAAGUAAAGGGGAUUGAGUGAAUGAAGACAAAUUGAAAGGUAAAUAUUACCUUUUUACAGUUACUCUAUUACUGUAUUAUUCCUGUUAUAGCUGCUCUGUCUGAUCAUCAUAGAAACUUUAGCCUUUGAGCUAUGGAUAGUGAUUGUAGCAGCUUUCUUGUAAGGUUGUUUUUCU